rnacentral:rRNA from 1 species
UGAGGAAUAUUGGUCAAUGGACGAAAGUCUGAACCAGCCAUGCCGCGUGAAGGAAUAAGGCCCUAUGGGUCGUAAACUUCUUUUGUAUGUGAGCAAUAAGGUCCACGUGUGGUCCGAUGAGAGUAGCAUACGAAUAAGCAUCGGCUAACUACGUGCCAGCAGCCGCGGUAAUACGUAGGGGGCGAGCGUUGUCCGGAAUUACUGGGCGUAAAGGGUGCGUAGGCGGUUUGGUAAGUUGGAUGUGAAAUACCCGGGCUUAACUUGGGGGCUGCAUCCAAUACUGCUGAACUUGAGUGCAGGAGAGGAAAGCGGAAUUCCUAGUGUUGCGGUGAAAUGCGUAGAUAUUAGGAGGAACACCGGUGGCGAAGGCGGCUUUCUGGACUGUAACUGACGCUGAGGCACGAAAGCGUGGGGAGCAAACAGGAUUAGAUACCCUGGUAGU